CAUCUAGCGGUUCACAGUGGUGGGUGGUGAGAUGAUAUUGUAAAUCUGUUUAGUCAUCCAUUUUUUAGUGUGAAGUACUAGUAGAACUAGAAAUUGUUGUGAUAUAGAUAUACGGAAAUUAGGUGUUCUGCAAGUGCAAUCAUGAAGAAAGUGUUAGUUUUAACAUGUAUAUGUUUAAUUCAAAUAUCACACUCGGCUUUUCCGAAUUUUUACCCAAAAAUAGCUGUAGAGCCGAUCACAGACGAUCCUGGGGUUCCCCUGCUACUCACACCUCUUAUAGAACAGAACAAAAUAACCGAAGCUGUGGCAGCUUCCAAGGUAUAUUUCAACGGAUUUAAGAAGAUUGAAAGCUACUCCGGUUAUUUUACUGUUGAUAAAACCUUCGGCUCAAAUUUAUUUUUCUGGUUCUUCCCCGCUGCAACUAAUUACGAAAACGCCCCUGUCGUGUUAUGGCUUCAAGGUGGACCAGGAGCAUCUUCGCUGAUCGGGCUUUUUACAGAAAAUGGCCCUUUCAAAGCCAAAUCUAAGAAAGGAUUGAAACUCAGACCCUAUUCCUGGAGUACUACUCAUUCUAUGAUAUAUAUUGAUAGCCCAGCUGGUACUGGAUAUAGUUUCACUAACGGAGGAUUCGCUCAAAAUGAAACUAAGGUUGGGCAAGAUCUGUACAGUGCCCUUACUCAGUUUUUCACAAUGUUUCCUAAUCUUCAGAAAAACGAUUUUUAUGUUACUGGAGAGUCUUAUGGAGGAAAGUAUGUUCCAGCUAUUUCAUAUACUAUUCAUAAAAAUAAUCCGGAUGCCAAGUUGAAAAUAAAUCUAAAGGGACUGGCUAUAGGAAAUGGUUUGAUCAAUCCAGAAUUCCAGUUAAAUUAUGGAGAUUAUUUAUAUCAAUUAGGAAUGGUUGAUUUGAAUGGCCAGCAAGUUUUUAAGCAAGCGGAACAAGAAGCUGUCAAAUACAUCCAAAACAAACAGUUCGAUAAAGCACAGGAGGUCUUCCAUAAACUUUUAGAUGAUGAUUUCGACAACCAUUCAUCGACAUUCACAAAUAUCACAGGUUUCACCAACUACUACAACUAUCUGUACCCUAUUGACCCCAACAAUGUAGAAAUAGAAGAAGCCGUCAGAUAUCUUCAGAGAGAUGACGUACGCGCUGUUAUCCACGUCGGCAACACAUCAUUUGGUGCUGUGUCGUCUGAAGUCGAAAAUAACUUGAAGAACGACAUCAUGCAAAGCAUAACUCCCUGGCUUACCGAGCUUCUCAACAAUUACAGAGUUCUGCUCUACAAUGGUCAAUUAGAUAUCAUUGUCGCCUAUCCUCUAACAGAGAACUUCCUGAAGAACCUCGAUUUUAACGGUGCAGACCAGUACAAGACAGCGCAAAGGUAUCCUUGGUACGUCGGUACUGAUCUUGCUGGGUAUGUUAAGCAAGCUGGGAAUUUGACUGAAGUACUGGUGCGAGACGCUGGUCAUAUGGUUCCAGCGGAUCAACCUCAAUGGGCUUUUGAUCUUAUCAAUCGGUUCACCAGCAAUAAACCUUUCCAUAGAACAUAAUCAUACUCCAUGUAACCAUUCUCGAACUAUUAUUUUUAGUUCAUUAUUAUCUUCUUACUCGAUUAUAUAGUUUUAGUAGCUCAGUAGAACUUUAGUAAAGUCUGGGAUAUUUUAGGGGACUUGAGGGUAUUUUUGAUCAUUCACCUAUUACCAAGUCUUUAUCUAAUUAUCUUAAAUGUUGUUUUUUAUAUUAAUGAUGUGCUAAAAUAAUUUCAUAUAAAUGUUUCGUAAUUUUUACUGACAAUAUCUCACAAUAAGAUCAAUGCGGAUGUCUACAGCUACAGACUUGCGUCAGUGUGAGCUACACAGAUUAUAAACAGAUCAGGUUUGAAUGAUUGGAAAAAAUUUGAAAAUAUUGAAUUUUUCUGAUAUUAUUAACUGAAAGACAGUGAAAUACCCAUUUGAUAUUUUAUUAAGGAAAUAAUUAAUUUUGUUUAGAAAUAGGUACAUUAAGUAAAUAAAGAUUAAGUUACUUUUG
rnacentral:misc_RNA from 1 species